UACGUAGGUGGCAAGCGUUGUCCGGAAUUAUUGGGCGUAAAGCGCGCGCAGGUGGUUCCUUAAGUCUGAUGUGAAAGCCCACGGCUCAACCGUGGAGGGUCAUUGGAAACUGGGGAACUUGAGUGCAGAAGAGGAAAGUGGAAUUCCAAGUGUAGCGGUGAAAUGCGUAGAGAUUUGGAGGAACACCAGUGGCGAAGGCGACUUUCUGGUCUGUAACUGACACUGAGGCGCGAAAGCUAGGGGAGCAAACGGG
rnacentral:rRNA from 1 species